rnacentral:lncRNA from 1 species
UGUAUUUUCCUGUAUCUUUUUCAGAAAUUUAUUUGUUUUCUCUUUGAUGACCUCUGCCUAUUUGAUUGUAUUUUCUUGUAUUUCUUUAAUGGAUUUACUCAUUUCUGCUUUAAAGUUCUCUGUCAUCUUUAUAAGAUUGGAGUUAAGGUCACCUUCUUGUGCUUUGGUGGUGUUACUAUAUCCAGGCCUUGCUGUAGUAGGACAGCUGUGCUCUGAAGGUGUCCUAUUACCUUGGAAUUUGUUGAUAGUCCACUUUCAAUGGCCUUUAUCCAACUGGGUGACUUUGUAAACUGGAUGUUUCUGUUGCAGUUAGUAUUCGGAGGGGGGUUAACCUGGAUGAUCCUGUUUUGGCAGAAGAAUAGAGGUCACCUGGGGAUAGCAGACUGCUUAGUGCAGCUUGUGGUGCCCCAGAGGGCUCAGAGAGUAAGGAAGAUGGAUGAGGGAAGGGAACCUGAACUGUGUUGUGGUGAUUUUAUAUGAAAAUCCUAAGAUCAAGGAUUGGAGAGGUGAAUCAUUUACUAGGGGAGAUUAUUGUAAAGCUUGAGGAACUGAAUUUAGAUCCUUAUAAUACCUUAAAAAGCUGAGAAUAGCUUUACAUACCUGUCCUUUGGUUGAACAUGGAGGAACACUCUUCUUCCUCCUUGGAUGUUCAUUGGAAAUUACUGCAGACCAACCUUGCUGAAAUCUGGCAGACUCCAAUCCAAUCAGAUACUCUUCACCAUGGAAAUAAAUUUAGUGAUCAAUAACAAUUCACUGCAUGCCCCUCUAUGCUUCACAUAGUCAUACAGACAUGUGUAUCAACAUAUGUAUAUAUUUUUGUAAGUGCUAUUAAAGAAUAACAUACUUCCCUCUAGUAUAACUAAAUUAAAAUAUAAAAUAUAAAAUACACAUUAAUAAGUUUUAUAUUUUGCAUAUAUAUGUGUGCAAUAAUUAAAGAAGUCAUAAAUCUUAGAGAAAUAUGGGUAAAGGAUACAGAGAUUCAUGAAGGCAGAGAAGACAUGUGAAUACAGUACAUAUCUAGGAAAUUAUCAAAUCAAAAUUUUGAUUAAAUUUAAUAGAAUAAUUAUAGCUUUCACUCAUUUUAUUCCUUCCCCCUUUCCCCUCUUCAUCCCCCUCCCCACAUGAUCUUUCUGGUUCAGUCCACCACUUCCAUCUAUCCAUAACUAUUCUAUUUCCAGAAGCUUUGAUGUUGGUACACCCCUGGGCAAAUAGUCCUGGAUUCUAUAAGAAAACAUGCUGAGCAAGCUAUAGGUCUAAGCCUGGUAACAGCACCCCUCCUUAGCCUCUGAAUUACUUUUACCUCUAGGUUCCUGAUAAGUUUGAAUUCCUGUCCUGACUUCCUCUGAUGAUAAAUUGUGAUGUGAAUGAAUAAGCCAAAUAAACUCCUCUCCAAUGACAAAAAAACAAACAGUAAAUAUCACAAAAUGAUUUCAAAUCUUCUGCACUGAACAUUUUCAAAUAUUACUAAUAUGAGUUAAAGUUUAAAUACAUAAGCAAAUUAACUCUUUAUAUCUAUCAAACACCUGAUUCUAAAUUGUAUGUGAACAUAACGGUACCUAAAAUAUAAAAAAAAAUGUCUUAAAAAUAAAAUAACAUUUUAAGGCUUAACUUAUAUAGUUAAAAUGCUUAUGUUAGUUAUACGAUAAGGUGUGGGGGAGGUACAGGAGACAUGUCAUAAGUUAGGGCAAUAAAAAAGGCCACAAAGACAAAGAAAUUAUUUUACCUGAAAUAAACACUGAAGCCAGAAAUUGUCCCAGACCAGUGUUUUUAAAGUGCAAUGAUUUUCAUAAGAAAUCUCAAAAGAACACAGCAACAAGAUGACAUUUUACAGU